rnacentral:rRNA from 1 species
AUUGAACGCUGGCGGCGUGCUUAACACAUGCAAGUCGAUCGGUAACGCGGGGGCAACCCUGGCGACGAGAGGCGGACGGGUGAGGAACGCCUGGGAAUCUGCCCUUCAGCGGGGGACAACCCGGGGAAACUCGGGCUAAUACCGCAUACGCUCCACGGAGGAAAGCCGGGGACCGCAAGGCCUGGCACUGAAGGAUGAGCCCAAGCCGGAUUAGCUAGUUGGCGGGGUAACGGCCCACCAAGGCGACGAUCCGUAGCUGGUCUGAGAGGACGAUCAGCCACACCGGAACGGAGACACGGUCCGGACUCCUACGGGAGGCAGCAGUGGGGAAUAUUGGACAAUGGGGGAAACCCUGAUCCAGCGACGCCGCGUGGGUGAAGAAGGCCUGCGGGUUGUAAAGCCCUUUCGGUAGGGACGAAAGCUCUUGCCUUAACACGGCAGGAGGUUGACUUAACCUACAUAAGAAGCACCGGCUAACUACGUGCCAGCCGCCGCGGUAAGAC